UGGGACACGCAGGACAAGAACGGGACAGUUGGGUUUAGGAAAAGAAGAACGGGACAGUUGGGUUCAGGAAAAGAAGAAAGGGUCAGCUGGGUUUAGGAAUAGCAGAACGAGACAGUUGGGUUUAGGAAAAGAAGAAAGGGACUGUUGGGUUUAGGAAAAGAAGAACGGGACAGUUGGGUUUAGGAAAAGAAGAAAGGGACAGUUGGGUUUAGGAAAAGAAGAACGGGACAGUUGGGUUGAGGAAUAGAAGAACCGGACAGUCGGGCUCAGGAAAAGAAGAACGGGACAGUUGGGUUUAGGAAAAGAAGAACGGGACAGUUGGGUUUAGGAAAAGAAGAACGAGACAGUUGGGUUUAGGAGAAGA